AUAAAUCUUUAAAUGUGUAAGGGAUUGGAGAGAACCCAUGCUGUUUGGAAGACAUGUAAGGUUUUUACAAUAUGAAAUCUCUAAAUGUGUAAGGGAUUGGAGAGAACCCAUGUUGUUUGGAAGAGUGGUGAGGUUUAGACAAUAAGAAAUCUUUAAAUGUGUAAGGGAUUGGAGAGAGCUUAUAUCGUUGGGAAGAGAGGUGAGGCUUGGACAACGAUAAAUUUCUAAAUGUGUAAGGGAUUGGAGAGAACUUAUGUCUAAGGGAAUGGAGAAUCCACCAAAACUGAUUAUAUUUAAAGUUUUCAAAUUGGGAUGUGGUUGUAAAACUUGUAAUACCUUUUCAUCAUCGCUUUCUUUAGUCGGUCCACAAUCAUAGCCAAAUCUCAAUUCCAAUGAUACAAGUUUUUCCAUCCCAUCCGGCAAGCGACUAAUUAUAUUUGGACAACAAUAAAUCUUUAAAUGUGUAAGGGAUUUAAGAGAACCCAUGUUGUUUGGAAGAAUGGUGAGUUUUGGACAAUCAGAAAUAAGUAAAUGUGUAAGGGAUUGGAGAGAAUUCAUGUCGUUGGAAAGAGAUUUGAGGUUUUCACAAUCAGAAAUA
rnacentral:lncRNA from 1 species